CGAGAGAAAGGUUGAUGAAAGAAGAAGGAGAAGAGAAGAGUACAACGGAGACAUUUUUGUUUUUGGUUGUGUUCGUUUUUGUUUUUGUUUUUGUUU
rnacentral:ribozyme from 12 species